rnacentral:sRNA from 1 species
UGUGGCUCCUGUGUGUGGCGGCGGCGGUCUUGGCAUGGGGCUUCCUCUGGGUUUGGGACUCCUCAGAACGAAUGAAGAGUCGGGAGCAAGGAGGACGGCUGGGAGCCGAAAGCCGGACCCUCCUGGUCAUAGCGCACCCUGACGAUGAAGCCAUGUUUUUUGCUCCCACAGUGCUAGGCUUGGCCCGCCUAAGGCACUGGGUGUACCUGCUCUGCUUCUCUGCAGGAAAUUACUACAAUCAAGGAGAGACUCGUAAGAAAGAACUUUUGCAGAGCUGUGAUGUUUUGGGGAUUCCACUCUCCAGUGUAAUGAUUAUUGACAACAGGUAAUAUAUCUUUUAACAAUGUAGAAAUUUAUUGGCAAUAAAUAUGCAGUGAUAUACUCAAAAGACACAC